UGCGUAGGCGGGCCUUUAAGUCAGGGGUGAAAUCCUGGAGCUCAACUCCAGAACUGCCUUUGAUACUGAGGAUCUUGAGUUCGGGAGAGGUGAGUGGAACUGCGAGUGUAGAGGUGAAAUUCGUAGAUAUUCGCAAGAACACCAGUGGCGAAGGCGGCUCACUGGCCCGAUACUGACGCUGAGGCACGAAAGCUGGGGAGCAAACA
rnacentral:rRNA from 1 species